GAUGAACGCUGGCGGCGUGCCUAAUACAUGCAAGUCGAGCGAACGGACGAGCAGCUUGCUUCUCUGAUGUUAGCGGCGGACGGGUGAGUAACAUGUGGAUAACCUACCUAUAAGACUGGGAUAACUUCGGGAAAUCGUAGCUAACACCGGAUAAUAUUUUGAACCGCAUGGUUCAAAAGUGAAAGACGGAUUUGCUGUCACUCAUAGAUGGAUCCGCGCUGCAUUAGCUAGUUGGUAAGGUAACGGCUUACCAAGGCUACGAUGCAUAGCCGACCUGAGAGGGUGGUCGGCCACACUGGAACUGAGACACGGUCCAGACUCCGACGGGAAGCAGCAGUAGGGAAUCUUCCGCGAUGGGCGAAAGCCUGACGGAGCGACACCGCGUGAAGGAUGAAGGUCUUCGGAUCGUAGAACGCUGUUAUUAGGGAAGAACAAAUGUGUGAGAGACUGUGCAGAACUUGACGGUACCUAAUCAGUAAGCCACGGCUAACUACGUG
rnacentral:rRNA from 1 species